rnacentral:rRNA from 1 species
ACUACGCUGGCGGCGUGCCUAAUACAUGCAAGUCGAACGGGAUUCUUUGAUCAGCUUGCUGAGAGAAGGAUCUAGUGGCGGACGGGUGAGUAACGCGUGGGAAUCUGCCUCUUACUGGGGGAUAACAGUGGGAAACUACUGCUAAUACCGCAUAAGAUCUUCGGAUGAAAGGUGCAACUGCACCGGUAAGAGAUGAGCCCGCGUCCCAUUAGCUAGUUGGUGAGGUAAAGGCUCACCAAGGCGACGAUGGGUAGCCGGCCUGAGAGGGUGAACGGCCACACUGGGACUGAGACACGGCCCAGACUCCUACGGGAGGCAGCAGUAGGGAAUCUUCCGCAAUGGGCGCAAGCCUGACGCAGCAACGCCGCGUGAGUGAGGAAGGCCUUCGGGUCGUAAAGCUCUGUCAGAUGGGAAGAAAUGGAUGGGGGCUAAUAUCGCCCAUCCUUGACGGUACCAUCAGAGGAAGCACCGGCUAACUCCGUG